UGUAGAAAUAAGGUUCAGUUGAGUUGAGUAUGGGUUCCAAGGUUGAACAUAAGAUUUUCUCUUUUCCACUUGUAAAUGUAAGGGAUAGAUUGCAUAUGCAUUUGAGAGAGAUUUGUUAAUUGUAUUCAUACCUUGUAAAUUUAUCUUCUUUGUACCCUA